GACGAACGCUGGCGGCGUGCUUAACACAUGCAAGUCGAACGGAAAGGCCCUGCUUGCCGGGUGCUCGAGUGGCGAACGGGUGAGUAACACGUGGGUGAUCUGCCCCUUACUUUGGGAUAAGCCUGGGAAACUGGGUCUAAUACUGGAUAGGACCAUGCUGUAGGUGGUGUGGUGGAAAGAUUAGUUUCGGUAAGGGAUGAGCUCGCGGCUUAUCAGCUUGUUGGUGGGGUAAUGGCCUACCAAGGCGUCGACGGGUAGCCGGCCUGAGAGGGUGGACGGCCACAUUGGGCCUGAGAUACGGCCCAGACUCCUACGGGAGGCAGCAGUGGGGAAUAUUGCACAAUGGGCGCAAGCCUGAUGCAGCGACGCCGCGUGGGGGAUGACGGCCUUCGGGUUGUAAACUCCUUUCAGCCAUGACGAAGCCUUCGGGUGACGGUAGUGGUAGAAGAAGCACCGGCUAACUACGUG
rnacentral:rRNA from 1 species